GAUGAACGCUAGCGGCAGGCUUAAUACAUGCAAGUCGUGGGGCAGCAGGUCCCGAGCAAUCGGGACGCUGGCGACCGGCAAACGGGUGCGUAACACGUACGCAACCUUCCCGUUACUGUGGCAUAGCCCAGGGAAACUUGGAUUAAUACCACAUAUUAUAUUGAGGGGGCAUCCUCUUGAUAUCAAAGCUUCGGCGGUAACGGAUGGGCGUGCGGUUGAUUAGGUAGUUGGCGGGGUAACGGCCCACCAAGCCUACGAUCAAUAGCUGAUGUGAGAGCAUGAGCAGCCACACGGGCACUGAGACACGGGCCCGACUCCUACGGGAGGCAGCAGUAAGGAAUAUUGGGCAAUGGACGAAAGUCUGACCCAGCCAUGCCGCGUGAAGGAUUAAGGUCCUCUGGAUUGUAAACUUCUUUUCUCUGGGGCGAAAACCAGCUAUUCUUAGCUAUUUGACAGUACCAGAGGAAUAAGCACCGGCUAACUCCGUGCCAGCCGCCGCCGUAAAAC
rnacentral:rRNA from 1 species